AUUGAACGCUGGCGGCAGGCCUAACACAUGCAAGUCGAGCGGAGAGGCGGACGGGUGAGUAAUGUCUGGGAAACUGUCUGUUGGAGGGGGAUAACUAUUGGAAACGGUAUCUAAUAUCGCAUACCAUCAGAUGUGCCCAGAUGGGAUUAGCUAGUGGGUGGGGUAACGGCUCACCUCGGCGACGAUCCGUAACUGGUCUGAGAGGGUGAUCAGUCACACUGGAACUGAGACACGGUCCAGACUCCUACGGGAGGCAGCAGUGGGGAAUAUUGGACAAUGGGCGAAAGCCUGAUCCAGCCAUGCCGCGUGUGUGAAGAAGGUCUUCGGAUUGUAAAGCACUUUAAGUUGGGAGGCGUUACCAACAGAAUAAGCACCGGCUAACUUCGUGCCAGCAGCCGCGGUAAUAC
rnacentral:rRNA from 1 species